GGGGAAUUGAGUCGUUUGUUAGACAGAAAGCAGCACGUCCUUUUAGAGCGGCGCAAUAAAUAGAAAAUAAAAUAAACCAAGUUCGGAGUAUGUCUGGGACAGUAUAAAAAAGUGCCUAUUUAUCGAUAAUUAUAAGAUGCCGAAGAAAAGGGGGAAAUAAAAAGAGGUUUCAGUCGUUAUUUUGGAAAAUUGCACGAUUAGACAACGAAAUUUUCAAACAUGGUUGCAUGUUAUAUAAAAAGACGUAGGUAGUAUUUUCUAUAAUAUACGUUUUAUAAAUAUUAAGGAAGCAAUGUAAAUAGUUCGUGUAAAUAUAAAAAGUAGUAAAAUCGAUAGAAAAAGAAACGUAAAAAUCGCUACUGAUUUUUUUUUUCAUUUUAACGUGAAAUGUUUGGUAGGAAGAAACAUCACACCAUAUUUGAAAUUACUCUUAUAGUGUUACGACGCCAAUGCAUUUAUGUGCAUCGAAUGCAAGUAUUUUCUAGCGGCAUUUUAUAAAAAGAACGUUAUUUAAAUACAACGUGAUAUGCUAAAUAAAAAUUUAUAUCAUAAUAACGCAACGGCAAGACGCAAUUAAAUGUAAUGAACGUUUGUUGAAAUUAAAUAAGCUUGUGUGUGUGUGUGUGUGUGUGUGAGAUGCAGAAGAUAAUUCGUAAGAAUUCGUAAUAAUUCAUUAGAUAAGAUGACAUCAAUGAACAUAAACAGUAAAGAAAUGCAUACACCUGGGAAGCUUGUAUAUAUAAAUUAUAUGUCGCAGUUCCUUUUUCAGUACUUUCUAACACUGAUAAGAUGGCACAUUUAAUAUGAGCAUAAUUCGAUCUAUUUACAUAUUGUCGAACUUUGUGAUGCAAUACCACACAACAUAAUUUUAAACAAUUUCUUUUUGUUCAUCAGCAAAUAACUGGAAUCAGUAGGAAUACAAUAAAAAUUUGUCCUUUACGCAUGGACAAUCUCAAUUUAAAUGAUUCACCAAUAAUUGCCCGAUAUACAAUAACAAUCGUAUUGCAUAUUUUCUUUGUACAUGCAUAUAUAUGCUUUUUUUUCGUUUUUCCUCCUUCUUUUUAUUUAAAGCGGAUUAGUCUUAAAGAAUGUGUUUGCAAAGCAAUAAUUAGUGAACCUUUUAACAUUUCGAAAUAAUAUCCUCUCGAUUUUAAAGAAAUAGCUGCCCCAUUGUCGUAGACAAUCCUAGAACGCAAGCAAUGGAAAAAUAUUAAUAAAAAAAUACGUACCUUUUUUUUUAUAAAAUAAUUAUAAUUUACAUGCAUUACGUAGCGAAUUAUUGCAAUGUUCAUUACGUAUAUUUAUCGACAUAAACCGUGUUAUUUACAUGACCAUGCUUGUGCUCUACUUCAUGUGCGAUCGUGCUUUACAUCAACAAAUACACCGUAAUAUAUUUAUAGUAAAGCGUGCAGUAUAGUGUAUGUAUAAUAAUAAUAAUGAAUUAUCGAUAUUAAAUACUGAGUUUCUCGUACAUAAUAGUUGUACUAGGCUCGUUAUUGCUAUAUGUAUGCUAAACUUCAACACAACAGUUGCAUAUUUCAUGCACAACAUUGAAAAUGUACUUGUUUUUUUUCUUUCAGCAAAGCUUAAUAAUAAUAAUACAAUUUUAGUUUUAUCUCGUAUAUAUACUUUAGUAUAUAUGUAAAUUUUCAAAUUCAUACUAAUCAAAUAAUGAAAAUGAAAGGAAUAGUAAAUGAAUUAUAAUCAACAGCUACUAUAGCUAAUAAAAUCAAUAUUCUAAAAAUGAUCUGAAAUUUUAUUAUUAUUAUGGCAUAAAAAAUACCUGUAUUACUCUUUGUUGAA